UUCCCAGCAGUCCAGUGGUUAAGACUCUGUACUUUCAAUGCAGGGAAUGCAGGUUCAAUCCCUGGUCAGGAAA
rnacentral:tRNA from 1 species